rfam:Schistosoma rodhaini strain Burundi genome assembly, scaffold: SROB_scaffold0015450
GCUGAGGAGUCCCAUAAUAGGACGAAACGGCCGUCC